CGCGGUGCUUACUGGGAGCGGUAGUUCUGUUGGUACGGCGCGGCAGCUGCCGGGGACGGCAGCCAUCAUUGCGACCUGGUGCUUGUGGCGGGGAGGGCCCGCUUCGCCACGCCGCCGUGCGGUGGUGGGCGGGCAGGCAGGCAGGCAGCCCCACGGGCCCUACGCGGGUGUCAUCUGAGCCCCAGCCUGGCCAGGGUGUGAUGCACGAGAGGAAGAGGCUUAUUUAGUUGGGAAGGGAAGACUGUGGGCAGUUCCUGCCCCUCUGACUGCCUACUGAGGAACACAAGUGUGGUUAGGAGCAGACACUGGAAGUUGCAGUCAUAGCAUAACCCAGAAGCGUUUCAGGAAAAAAAGUCUGCAGACAGAAUGGGAUUUUCACUGGUCUCUCUCCCACCUCUCUACUUGAAUUUCUGUUGGUCUACACACUGAUGACAGCUUGCUGUGAUGUCAAAAAAAAAAAAACAAAAACAACAACAACAACAACAAAAACCCUCUAUUUAAGAGAUGAAAUAAGUUUGGCGUUUAUUGGCCCGAUGACUGGGAGCUUCUGUUUUGCUUCACUGCAGUGCCAUUCAUGAGAUGUUGCAAGGCCAAGAGCUGAAUGCAGCUAUGAGAUUAGCUGCUCCUUCCCCAUCCACCAGCAGCCUGCCUUGGUGGGCCUGAAUCUUGGAUUAAAUUUGUUCCUGGGUCUGGAGCACAUCAUUCAGCUUCUGCUCAGCUAAGGUGUCCCAUGUAGAAGCAGAGACAGCCAUACCACAGAAACUGUGUGACAGGAAAAAUCGAUCACUUGUAUGAUGUUUUGGUGGAAACAAUGUGCUGCAAAUCACAACCUGGAGCACAGGAAUGAGGAUAUGAUUGGGAGUCUCAUCAUCUGCUUGAAUCAUGAGAGUGAUAAUGAUAAUGAACAAGAGUCCUAGCAGUCUCCCAGGAGGACAUUUUCUCAUUUGCAUUGUGGUGUGUAUAUGAAAUCCAUAGAGAUGUCAGUCAGAUGUAUCAAUUUUAUCUAUUGGGCAUGACAACAAAAGGAUGAACAGAGGAAUGCACUCAGAUAUAGCUACUUUAACACUCAGCUCCCCAGGCCAAGUUUAAGAGGUUUUGCAGUAUGUUUAGACAGAGAAAAGUCCUUCUUUUCUGUUUGUGGGGUACUGAUGCUGAUGUCUCGGAAUAUUUAUUUUAUGGUGAUUCUGUUCUUUUCCUGAAGGUAUCACCUAGAGUACAUCAGUGAGUUUAUACAUGGCAUAAGAACAUUUGGGCCUUUCUGGUGAAUCACUGGCACAGGCAAUCUAUUUUAUUUAACACUUAGAAAAAGUAUUUUCAAAGGUACUCUAGGAGCAACUGUGCUAUGUCAUACCUAUUUUCACAGAAGAGAUAUUCCAUGACCUAAAUUAUUUCUAAUCUAGGUAUGCAAGAGAAACAGUAAGAAAUAGAAUAGAAAAGGUUGUUCUUCACACAGUGUGAAGUGGAGGAACACAGAAACUGACUAUACAACUCCAGAACAGACAAUGAGCGUGGAGACCAAGUAUGGUUUGAAACAACAUGUAUCAAACACUACUCAAGGCAGGUCCCUACAGAAUCAACCUUCUUCCAUUCCUAUAAGGAAAGGGACUUGUAUCAAGGGUAGCCAGCAAAAGAUCUAGUGGGUCAGAAGUGUCCUCAUUUAUACAUUGCUCUUUGGAGAGAGUGGUAAUGGCAUUUCCUAAUUGUCUUUUGAGUACAGGAACUAAAGUUGGCAUUAUUUUCUGAAUGUCCAGCAUACUUCAUUGUAACCAAUACAUAGUUCAAAUAUGACUAAGUUGUCAGCAAGCUCAUAUGGUGUUAUACAAACUCAGUCUGGUUUUAUUUCCGAUUGUACCAUGUGGAACCAAUAGCACUUGACAGCGUAUCCCACAAUGCCUCUUAUGUACUCUAGUCUAUCUGAAAUGGGGAAAGAAAUUUUGAAAGCACCCAAAAAGAAAACAGGCUCAUCAGCCUGAGUCAAGGUCCUUAAUGUUGCUUCAUACCUUCCCAGCACCUCUAGUCAAUUGACGUCUGCUUUGCAUGAGUCUUUGCCUAUGCUAAGGCUUACAACGUACCUGCAGGGUUCUUAAACCUAUUUCUGACAACGCUGAUGGAAUCAUUCCGACAUUAGUCAGAUUACUCUUACAAGACAAGCAAAGAUGUUAGCCACGGCAUGUCUUCUUUUCUCAGCAUCAUUCCCCCACACACUGUCAUGUGAGUAGCAAGUGUCUGUUUAGCCUGGAGAAGAGUUUGUUGGAAGCAGAUACUGUAAAGUUAGAGCCAUUCUAGAAAAAGAGUGCUUUGCUGCUGAAAAUGAUCCAUCCACCAAAGCAGAAAUGAGCCUCUCUGUGCAAUCACAAUAAAAUAAUAGCCCCACGCCAGCUCUCUCUCUCUUUCUUGAAUGAUUGUGCUGUGUAUAGGUCUGCUGGACUGCAUCAAUACCUUCUUACAGCCAAUAAUUCAUCCUCAUGCUUUUGGCUCAGUCCCGCUGCUCAGAUAUGCAAGAGCAUGCUUCUGCCCAUUUGAAAAAUCAGCUGCUGUGUAUGCACACACCAGCGCCGUAGUAGACUUUACAAGA